CCCUCUCCCGCGCAGCGCGCCGGGACCCCGCGGACCCGAGCGGCGGCGGCGGCGGCGGCGGCUGGAGCCCGGGAGGCGGAGGCGGGCGGAGGGCGGCGGCGGCGGCGCGCAGAGACGCAGCAGCGGCAGCGGCAGCAUGUCGGCCGGCGCGGCGCCAGUCCCGCCGCCCCCGAAUCCCGCCGUGUCCUUCCCGGCGCCGCGGGUCACCCUGCCCGCCGGCCCCGACAUCCUGCGGACCUACUCGGGCGCCUUCGUCUGCCUGGAGAUUGUGUUCGGGGGACUCGUGUGGAUCCUGGUCGCCUCCUCCAACGUCCCUCUACCUCUGCUGCAGGGAUGGGUCAUGUUCGUGUCGGUGACGGCUUUCGUCUGUUCCCUCCUCUUCCUGGGCGUGUUCCUCUCUGGCGUGGUGACUCAGAUUAAUGCCAAUUGGAACUUCCUGGAUUUUGCUUACCAUUUUACAGUGUUUGUCUUCUACUUUGGAGCCUUUUUGCUGGAAGCAGCUGCCACAUCGCUGCACAAUCUACGUUGCAAUAGAACCGUGGCUGUGCAUCUGCUCUUGAACGAUAACCAGUAUAACAUAAACGUGGCCGCCACGAAGUGAUUUGCUACACGCUCAAAUCCUGAUAGCUGCAGUUUGCUUGGCUGUGAGAUAUCUGCGCGAAUAGACAUCUCAUCGUGAAGUUUUGAAUGUGUACCAUCAUAGGGGUUUCACCAGUACUUAACAAAUUUUUGCCUUUGUGACGACAGCUUGUUACGGUUGCAGUUUGGGUCUGGCUUUACGACGAUGGCGACCCUAACACUCCUGACAGACUGCCUGUGUGUUAGUUUCAUUUGUGUACUUUUUAUGUGCGAUCAAUUUGGAUACCAUUUUGCCCGGAUAUAACAACAUCCUCAAAGUAAUUUGUUUAGUAUAUGGAGAGAAUCUAAGUUUUCGUUCAUUUCCUGAUGUAAUUUUAAUUUUAUUAUGAUGUUAAACAGAGAAAUGGCCUUUAGUUUUACAUCUAUCUUUCUCAUUUUUUUUAUUAUUUUAAAGAAAGUGUCCCUUUACAUGCAUAAAAUACAGAGACAUCGUUCAUGAAAAAGGGGUAUCUCUUGUGUUUCGUUACUGAGUCACCUGAACCUUAAUUUUAAUAGGUAACUAAAACUGAACAAAUCACAUUUCAAAUCAGCUUCCCACUGAACUCUGUUUUUGUGUAAAACAGAGAUCAGCACUCUUUUGCUCUAAAGGUCCAGAUAGUAAAUAUUUUAGGCUUUGUGGGCCGUACAGCCUCUGUCACAACUACUCACCUCUGCUGUUAUGACAUGAAAGCAGCCAUAGACUAUGUAAAUGAGUGAAUGUAGCUGUGUUCCAGUAAAUCUUUAUUUACAAACACUGGCAGCAGGCUGCAUUUGGCCUGUGGGCUGCAGGCUAUCGUUUGCUGGCCUCUGGUGUAAAACCUUGGUUGUGGGUUCUGUAUUUUAUUGAACCAAUCCUGAAUGGUAUAAAGCGAAUUAGACAAGCCACAUAAUAUUUAGUCUCAUGCAAUUAUCACAUUGUCUUUGGGUUAAUGGUCAAAUACCCUUGAAGGGGCUGUAGUUUCUCAAACUAAUUCAAGCAGAGUCUUGGGUACAGGAAAAAUUAAUUUAUGAACACUAGUUCCUUGAUCCACUUAAGGGUUUCCUAACAACUGAGCAAAAUGCUCAUCUGGCAUCCUUAACAUUUGAGCCCCAGAGACCGCUAACCACUCCUGGAACUGGUAUUUAGCUCCUGAUGUCUUACUUUGGGUUUAUUUAUGCUUGAAAUAUAGCUGUUUGCCCUGUGCAUGAUUAUACAAGUAUUUAUGUGUGGAUAUGUGAGGCUUUACCCCAUAGAGCUCUCCAAAGGGUGAACUUUUUACUUCUAAUUCUUUUACGUGAUUCUGAGUUAAGUUUGAAUAGAGUAUGAAAUAUAACUGAAAGUUGUAGAUCCUCACAUGUUUAGAGAAUAGUCUUAACAUCUAUGUUGUUUUGCACUGGUGACAAAUACAUAGAAUCAGUUUUAAAGCAACAACAGUCACGAAAGCUAUCUCUGGCUGAAUAGCAAAGAGAAGUAUUUUAACCCAGCUCAGAGACCCUGGUCUCGGCAAGGUGCCAAAAUGGCUUGCGUGGGAGAACCAGUUAGAGUUAGGCCCCAGCUCACGUCACCUGUCUAAAGAAGAUACUUACCUCUUGCCCCAAGAGGGCUACCUCUGGGAAAAGAGGGCUUUUGAUGAUUUUUAUAUUUUCAACCUUUUGCUUUUUGGCUGAAUCACCCCUUACAAGUGCCAUGUUCAAGUUGGGCUGUUGGAUUUCAUGGAACAUAGAACAGUCCUGAAUGAGUAGUAUAAUCAAUGCUCAAUGAUCAAAUGCUGUUUAUGUAAUAAUCCCCUAGAAAGAACAGUCUUACUAGGGUUUGGUUUGUGAUGUAAUUCCAGAGAUAAAAGGUAUAUUUAAUAUGUGGCAAGAGGAAGUCAGUCUUAUGACUUUAUACUGAUGUCAUGGCUUUUCUAUAAUAUCCAGCUUCCUUGGUUUUUCUAGCUCCAUACCCUGUAUUAUGAAUUGUAUAUUGCAAAGUCAUAAACGUGCCAUAAGGCUAUAUCGUCCAUUCCAACUGGAAUCGUUAAAAGUUAGUCGGCUAGAUUUAGUUGUGAGAUUAUAUUUUUGUUUCCAGGGUAUAACAGGUCCAUGCGUGGUGGCAUUAAAUUAAAUGAUUUCAUGAAACUGCUUUGGUGGCACUUUUGUAAAUGGAUUGCUUCUAGAUCAUUAAGAACCAAGCCUAAAACUCAUCUAACUGUGAAUACUUAGAAUUGUAAAUUAAUCACGAUCUAGAUUUGUGAGUUGACUGACAAAGCACUUGAACAAAAAUUAUGGCAUUUGAGAAUUUCUUUAUAUACCUUAGCUGUAAAAAUGAGAAAGUGUUGGUUGGUUUUAAAAUCUGGUAACUCCAUGAUGAAAAGAAAUUUAUUUUAUAAGUGUUACAACUCUAAUAAAGUAUUCAUUUGAUAAUC